CACGUAGGGUACGAGCGUUGUCCGGAAUUAUUGGGCGUAAAGAGCUCGUAGGCGGUUUGUCACGUCUGCUGUGAAAACUCGGGGCUUAACUCCGGGCCUGCAGUGGGUACGGGCAGACUAGAGUGCGGUAGGGGAGACUGGAAUUCCUGGUGUAGCGGUGAAAUGCGCAGAUAUCAGGAGGAACACCGGUGGCGAAGGCGGGUCUCUGGGCCGUAACUGACGCUGAGGAGCGAAAGCGUGGGGAGCGAACAGG
rnacentral:rRNA from 1 species